GCUAGUUUUGACAUCGCAUGUACUAAAAUUGAAACAAUACAGAAGAGAUUAGCUUGGCGCCAGCACAAGGCUGACAUGAAAAUUCACAUUCUCUCUCUUUUUUU